AAGACCUUGCGCUUUUGGAGCGGCCGAUGUCUGAUUAGCUUGUUGGUGAGGUAAAGGCUUACCAAGGCUUCGAUCAGUAGCUGGUCUGAGAGGACGGCCAGCCACACUGGGACUGAGACACGGCCCAGACUCCUACGGGAGGCAGCAGUGGGGAAUUUUGGACAAUGGGGGCAACCCUGAUCCAGCCAUGCCGCGUGAGUGAAGAAGGCCUUCGGGUUGUAAAGCUCUUUCAGCCGGAACGAAACGGUUACGAUUAAUACCCGUAACUACUGACGGUACCGGAAGAAGAAGCACCGGCUAACUACGUGCCAGCAGCCGCGGUAAUACGUAGGGUGCGAGCGUUAAUCGGAAUUACUGGGCGUAAAGGGUGCGCAGGCGGUUUUGUAAGUCAGAUGUGAAAUCCCCGGGCUUAACCUGGGAACU
rnacentral:rRNA from 1 species